rnacentral:tRNA from 1 species
UCUAAUAUGGCAGAUUAGUGCAUUAGAUUUAAGCUCUAAAUAUAGAGAUUACCCUUCUAUUAGAA